GCCAGCAGCCAUAUCACCCUGCAACUCACAACUCACAACUGGCAACCUACUGAAGGUAAGCAGGUGUGAGCCUGGUCAGUACCUGGAUGGGAGACCUCCUUGGAAAAACUAAGGUUGCUGCUGGAA
rnacentral:rRNA from 1 species